UUUACUAGAGCAAAUACUUGACAGAACACGUGAUGUUUGGAAAGGGAUAAAUAAACCCCAACAGACAGUAGAGGACGCUAUGGCUUUGGUUCACCUUGCCUUCUUCCCUGAUCAUCUCUUGUCAUGACUUCAUAGAGAGAAACGCACCAAAGAACUUCUCCUGAUAUUCCAGAGGCUUCUUGCCACUUCCAAGAACUUAGGCAGAUUGGCUGAUCGAUCCAGAAGAAACCGUGAGUCCCUUCCACGAACUACCAUUGCUGAUUCUUGUGAGCUCAACUGUUGAUAUCCAGAUAUGGAAGAUUGGAAUCGCCCACAAAGAACUUUACUAAACAGCUGC
rnacentral:lncRNA from 1 species